rnacentral:rRNA from 1 species
CCUGGCGGCCAUAGCGCGGUGGUCCCCACCUGAUCCCAUGCCGAACUCAGAAGUGAAACGCCGUAGCGCCGAUGGUAGUGUGGGGUCUCCCCAUGCGAGAGUAGGACACUGCCAGGC